rnacentral:rRNA from 1 species
AUUGAACGCUGGCGGCAUGCCUUACACAUGCAAGUCGAACGGUAACAGGUUAAGCUGCCGAGUGGCGAACGGGUGAGUAAUGUAUCGGAACGUGCCCAGUCGUGGGGGAUAACUGCUCGAAAGAGCAGCUAAUACCGCAUACGACCUGAGGGUGAAAGCGGGGGGUCGCAAAUCCUCGCGCGAUUGGAGCGCCGGAUAUCAGAUUAGGUAGUUGGUGAGGUAAAGGCUCACCAAGCCGACGAUCUGUAGCUGGUCUGAGAGGACGACCAGCCACACUGGAACUGAGACACGGCCCAGACUCCUACGGGAGGCAGCAGUGGGGAAUUUUGGACAAUGGGCGCAAGCCUGAUCCAGCCAUGCCGCGUGCGGGAAGAAGGCCUUCGGGUUGUAAACCGCUUUUGUCAGGGAAGAAAAGGUUCUGGCUAAUACCUGGGACUCAUGACGGUACCUGAAGAAUAAGCACCGGCUAACUACGUG